UAAAAAGAUAUGUUUGCUUACCCUGAGAA
rnacentral:piRNA from 1 species